GAUGAACGCUGGCGGCGUGCCUAAUACAUGCAAGUCGAGCGAACAGACGAGGAGCUUGCUCCUCUGACGUUAGCGGCGGACGGGUGAGUAACACGUGGAUAACCUACCUAUAAGACUGGGAUAACUUCGGGAAACCGGAGCUAAUACCGGAUAAUAUAUUGAACCGCAUGGUUCAAUAGUGAAAGACGGUUUUGCUGUCACUUAUAGAUGGAUCCGCGCCGCAUUAGCUAGUUGGUAAGGUAACGGCUUACCAAGGCGACGAUGCGUAGCCGACCUGAGAGGGUGAUCGACCACACUGGAACUGAGACACGGUCCAGACUCCUAGGGUAGGCAGCAGUAGGGAAUCUUCCGCGAGGGGCGAAAGCCUGACGGAGCAACGCCGCGUAAGUGAUGAAGGUCUUCGGAUCGGAAAACUCUGUUAUUAGGAAAGAACAAAUGUGUAAGUACCUAUGCACGUCUUGACGGUACCUAAUCAGAAAGCCACGGCUAACUACGUG
rnacentral:rRNA from 1 species